AAGACUAUACUUUCAGGGAUCAUUUCUAUAGUUUGUUACUAAAAAAGGGGAAAAUUGGCUAGUGCAUUUUUUAAAGGUAUAUACC
rnacentral:snoRNA from 1 species